CUCUGCUCUUUUUGAUGUCACUUAAGCGAUAUCAUUGUUUAUUAGGAUUGAAAAGACAUUCACACCCUCAGUACACUUUGGCCGUGUUUCUAGUUUAUAACCAUAGCCACGUUUGACUCUUAGAUGUUUGGCAUUUUUAUAAGAUAUUACAAGAAUAAAUUGGAAUGUAGAGCUUAAUGGUUUUUAGGUAAUGAAGAAGAUGCUAGGUAGAAAUUACUACAAAGGCAGAUGUGUGGAAUCUUUUCCUUUCCAUAGACUUUGUAUUUAUUGAAAGGCAAACAAAACCCAGAGUAUCCAACUAUCUUUAGUCCAGAUUUGUAGCAACUAUAAUCUGAAAGAGAAACUUGUUUAAAAACAAACAAAACAAAACAAAACACUGUGAAAACCAACAGGCCUGGAGGGUAUACAAUUAGCGACAUAGUUAAAUUUUAGGCUUUGGUCUGCAGCUCUUCUCAUUGAAGUCUCAGUUUACCCAAAGGUCAGACAAGUACUAGUAAUUUCCCCAACAAUUCUCACUGAUUGUAGUUGAACCAGGGAGCAAGUAUUUGCUCUAGAAGUCAACUAGUCAACAGCUCAUGGACUUGGUUGGUGUAAUCUUAUCUAGAGAUCCAGUUCAGGGCCAGCUCUGUCCUCACAGCAGAGGUUUGGAUCCCACUCUCUACGUGAGACUUAACACACAUGUUAAUGUUCCCCGGGGUAAUCUGGAGAGAAGUGCCACCACAGAUUCCAUAGUCUGUGUUCUGAAUACAGAACAGCUAUGAGUUUUAUUAUUAUUGAUAACCUCAGUAGCAUUUUCCUGAUCGAAAGCCUCCCCUGCUGCUCAGUCUGCUGUUGAGUUCCAUCAUUCCCAGUUAAAUAGACAAACACUUCCUUAACUUCGAGUUACCGACCAAGGAUUUGUUAGUAUGGAAACACAGACCGAGUGUGUUUACUAGGAGAAUCCAUAUAGAUUAUGGAGAUGCCUAGUUUCUGUUACAUGUGACUGUGCACAUGUAUGAUCCCAGAACUCACAGGCACAGGAAGAUCAUGGAUUUGAGGCCAGUAGCCAGUUCAAAACAAGGCUGCACUGAGAGCUCCAAGACCUGGACAUUGACCUCAUUAGUACAGUAAUUUGACUGAGGUUUGACUCUAAGUUCUUUUAAGAAAUGAACUUGAGCCUGUGCCCUGGGGAUUCGACUAUGUGGAGAGGCAAGUGAACUUUUUGACUAACAAGAGCUCAGUGCAUGGAGUUGGCUGUUCUUUCCUGUGUGACUUAUUAAAUAACUACUGUCUCUGUGUACAGCAUGUAAAUUUGAAGCUAUGUGAAUGUUCGUAGGGUUCUGUUUUUUUCUAAAAUAUUUUCAACAGUGUUUAGAGUGCUCUCAGCUGCCUUAUUUCAGUGUGAACAGAAAAUGUUCCUACUUUAUGUGGUGAAUGCUUUAAAUGUGUCACUUACAGAAUAGUGUGUAGGAAAAGGCUGGCACAAUUUUAAGUGGUUUGCAACAUUAUUAUAUAUGUACAUAUAUGUUUAUAACAUUCUUGUGUUUCAUAGUAUAAAUGUUCAGGGCAAGUUUUAAUAUUUCAAAUGCCUCUGGAUAUUCCAGCAAUAAAGGCAAAAUGUUCUGCAGUCAAAUUUCUCGUUUGCCUACUUUUGACACUAAAAUAAUCUGUAUUUGAGCAAGGUUCCUUUUGAAAAUAUUACAGAAAGAGGGAAUAAAUACAUUUGUGAAUUGUGGUUUUUUUCUCCUUUAGGAAGGCCAGCCAUUUGUUUACCUUCCAGAACUUGACCCUAAGCUCUAAGUUCAAGCUUAAAAAAUAUGUCCCAGUUUGUAAUUUAGAGAUAGAGGCCAUCCGUUGAGCUUGGCAUUUAUUCAGACACUAACAAGUCUGCCGAAGUUGAGCUUUGGGAGUUCUGCUAAUUUGUCUAAUGACACAGGUGCUAAGAGAACCACAAUUCACCAAUUGACCUUUCUUGUUCCUAAUUGUGAAUUUUGGCAAUAAACACAGUUGUAUUAAGAAUACUAAUUUGACACCCACAUUUGCAAAGUAUUGAUAGUGUCAGUUUCAGAUCUUGUAUUUCAGAUAUCUGGCUUACAUACCCAACGAUGCAGAUUUUAAAGUUUGUAAGAACAACUUUGUUUAAAAACAGAAACUUGCUCUUAGCUUUGUGACCGUGUACUUUUGAAAUAAAACGAAGAAAGUCGUCCCCUG
rnacentral:lncRNA from 1 species